UACGUAAGGGGCAAGCGUUAUCCGGAUUUACUGGGUGUAAAGGGUGAGUAGGCGGUUCGGCAAGUCAUAUGUGAAAUACCUGGGCUCAACCCAGGAACCGCAUAAGAAACUGUCGGACUUGAGUACAGGAGAGGUAAGCGGAAUUCCCAGUGUAGCGGUGAAAUGCGUAGAUAUUGGGAAGAACACCGGUGGCGAAGGCGGCUUACUGGACUGAAACUGACGCUGAGUCACGAAAGCGUGGGGAGCGAACAGG
rnacentral:rRNA from 1 species